UUAGAGGAAGUAAAAGUCGUAACAAGGUUUCCGUAGGUGAACNUGCGGAAGGAUCAUUAUUGAAUUUGAAAGAGGUAUUGUUGCUGGUCUUUCGGGACAUGUGCACGCCUCGCUCAUCUCCAUUUACACCUGUGCACUCUUUGUAGGUUGGUUUUAGAUUUGACUUUACAGUCUUGUUUAGGCUUGCCUAUGAUUUUAUACAUACACUCAGUUUAUAGAAUGUCAUUGCGUUAAACGCAUUAUAUACAACUUUCAGCAACGGAUCUCUUGGCUCUCGCAUCGAUGAAGAACGCAGCGAAAUGCGAUAAGUAAUGUGAAUUGCAGAAUUCAGUGAAUCAUCGAAUCUUUGAACGCACCUUGCGCUCCUUGGUAUUCCGAGGAGCAUGCCUGUUUGAGUGUCAUGGAAUUCUCAACUCAUCAGUCUUGUUAUGAGGCUUUGAUGGGCUUGGAUUUGGAGGUUUAUGCUGCAUUUGUAUUAAUGCGGCUCCUCUUGAAUGUAUUAGUAGAACCUGCCAAGCAGUUCUCAGUGUGAUAAUUGUCUACGCUGUGAUUGUGAAAGCAUUAUGGGAUCUGCUUCUAACUGUCUACUUGUUUAGACAAUUUAUUUAACAUCUGACCUCAAAUCAGGUAGGACUACCCGCUGAACUUAAGCAUAUCAAUAAGCGGAGGAAAAGAAACUAACAAGGAUUCCCCUAGUAACUGCGAGUGAAGCGGGAAAAGCUCAAAUUUAAAAUCUGGCAGUCUUUGGCUGUCCGAGUUGUAGUCUGGAG
rnacentral:rRNA from 1 species